rnacentral:rRNA from 1 species
UUGGAGGGCAAGUCUGGUGCCAGCAGCCGCGGUAAUUCCAGCUCCAAUAGCGUAUAUUAAAGUUGUUGCAGUUAAAAAGCUCGUAGUUGAACUUCGGGGUUCACCCAUUGGUCAGGCUUAAUUGUCUGUACUGGUGAGAUGAGUCUCUACCUUCUGAGGAACUUUCAUGCCAUUUGUUUGGUGUGAUUGGAAAUCAGGACUGUUACUUUGAAAAAAUUAGAGUGUUUAAAGCAGGCUAACGUCUGAAUACAUUAGCAUGGAAUAAUGAAAUAGGACGGAUUGAUUCUAUUUCGUUGGUUUCUAGGGUCACCGUAAUGAUUAAUAGGGAUAGUUGGGGGCAUUAGUAUUCAAUUGUCAGAGGUGAAAUUCUUGGAUUUAUUGAAGACUAACUACUGCGAAAGCAUUUGCCAAGGAUGUUUUCAUUAAUCAAGAACGAAAGUUAGGGGAUCGAAGACGAUCAGAUACCGUCAUAGUCUUAACCAUAAACUAUGCCGACUAGGGAUCGGACGCAGUUAAUUUUAUAAUGACGUGUUCGGCMCCWUACGGGAAACCAAAG